rnacentral:lncRNA from 1 species
GAAAGGUAAAAAAAAAAUUAAAAAUAGGGGCAUGUGAAAUUUGGCCUUGGUGGGGACAACAGGACCGUCUUCAGCAGCUUGCUUUCUGCAUCAACUAAUCCCAUGCUGUUUGUAUUCUAACUUAAUAACAUUGUACAAAUGGUUUUUGUAUAUGCAGAUAAAGUUUUUCAUAAAGUGUGUGUUUCUAACAGGGUAAGAAUCGGCAGUAAAAAUCAGGCACGUGCUAGCAGCUAUUCCUGAGGAAAAGAGAAGCCCUUCCCUUGGCUCUGUGUACAGGCCUUUGGUUUAGAAUUAAUCUCACUGGAAAACUAGAGGCUCCUUGAGAAUUUUAUUGCUUUCUUCUCCCUGGUUAGUUUGAAAUUAUUAGGACAGCACCAAAGGUAGUAGGGCAUACCUCUGUUUUAACCGGGGAGCCUUCUUGCUUGGACAGCACCACUGCUUUAACCUCUAUUAACUGGAAAAUACAGUUAGCAGUAAUGAGCUACUGCGGAGUGUGUAAGGUGUCAAAAGUGUUUCCUGGAAAUCAGUGAAACAAAUUUAUAUGUGAAAGUUAAGAGGAGGGUGAAUUUAAAGGUAAUGAAAAAUAUACUUAAGCAAAUUAGAGAGAAAUA